UGGCAAGAUGUUGGCAUAGCUA
rnacentral:miRNA from 2 species